GACGAACGCUGGCGGCGUGCUUAACACAUGCAAGUCGAACGAAGUGGCGCACGUGUGAGUAACGCGUAAUCAACCCGCCCUUCAGAGGGGGACAACAGUUGGAAACGACCGCUAAUACCGCAUACUGAAGGAGGGGAUUGCGUCUGAUGAGCUAGUUGGAGGGGUAACGGGCCACCAAGGCGAUGAUCAGUAGCCGGUGUGAGAGGCUUAACGGCCAGAUUGGGACCGUGACGCGGCCCAGACUCCUACGGGAGGCAGCAGUGGGGACUCUUCCGCAAUGGACGAAAGGCUGGCGGAGCAACGCCGCGUGAGUGAUGACGGCCUUCGGGUUGUAAGGCUCUGUUAAUCGGGACGCGGUACCGGAAUAGAAAGCCACGGCUAACUACGUGCCAGCAGCCGCGGUAAUUC
rnacentral:rRNA from 1 species